rnacentral:rRNA from 1 species
UACAGAGGGUGCAAGCGUUGUUCGGAAUUACUGGGCGUAAAGCGUGCGCAGGCGGUCUGUUAAGACAGAUGUGAAAUCCCCGGGCUUAACCUGGGAACUGCAUUUGUGACUGGCAGGCUAGAGUAUGGCAGAGGGGGGUAGAAUUCCACGUGUAGCAGUGAAAUGCGUAGAGAUGUGGAGGAAUACCGAUGGCGAAGGCAGCCCCCUGGGCCAAUACUGACGCUCAUGCACGAAAGCGUGGGGAGCAAACAGG